rnacentral:rRNA from 1 species
AAAGUUGUUGCGGUUAAAAAGCUCGUAGUCGGAGGUGUGUCUCGGACGGUCGGUUCGCCGCUUGUCGGUGCUCAACUGGCCGGUCCGGACGUCCUGCCGGUGGGGCCGCGAGGCUCCGUCAUCCUUCUUUGGUCCUCUUCACCGAGUGCCUUGGUGGGCCGGCACGUUUACUUUGAACAAAUUAGAGUGCUCAAAGCAGGCCGUUGGUCGCCUGAAUACUGUGUGCAUGGAAUAAUGGAAUAGGACCUCGGUUCCAUUUUGUUGGUUUUCAGAACUCGAGGUAAUGAUUAAUAGGGACGGACGGGGGCAUUCGUAUUGCGACGUUAGAGGUGAAAUUCUUGGAUCGUCGCAAGACGAACCGAUGCGAAAGCAUUUGCCAAGAACGUUUUCGUUGAUCAAGAACGAAAGUUAGAGGUUCGAAGGCGAUCAGAUACCGCCCUAGUUCUAACCAUAAACGAUGCCAGCUAGCCAUCCGCCGAAGUUCCUUCUAUGACUCGGCGGGCAGCUUCCGGGAAACCAAAGCUCUUGGGUUCCGGGGGAAGUAUGGUUGCAAAGCUCAAACUUAAAGGAAUUGACGG